CAUUUUGCCAAGAAAACAGCUGCAGGAUAUGCAGGAUAUGCACUAUGCUUUACCAUUACAUUUACAAAUUGACAGAAUGGUUGUGGCCGGGACGUGUGCUGAUCGACCAGCAGGAGUGGACAGUGGUGGAAAUGGUGAGGGCCAGGAAUAACAUACGGCUGUCCAUAAUGAAGCAGGGCAUUGAGGAGAACGAUGACACCUUUGCCAGUGUGGCAUUCAACAGCCUACCAACAAUCGCCCACCUUUUGAAGAGGCACCAGGUAUCUAUAAAACACAUUUACCAUGUGCCUUUUGAGAGAAACAACAACCGGGGGAAACAACUGCGGGCCGAGUAUGUUCAGGUACAGCACUAUAUACUGUAUUACUGCUACUGUUUGAAGCACA
ensembl:lncRNA